rnacentral:rRNA from 1 species
GUGAGGAAUAUUGGUCAAUGGGCGGGAGCCUGAACCAGCCAAGUCGCGUGAAGGAAGAAGGAUCUAUGGUUCGUAAACUUCUUUUGCAGGGGAAUAAAGUGCAGGACGUAUCCUGUUUUGUAUGUACCCUGAGAAUAAGGAUCGGCUAACUCCGUGCCAGCAGCCGCGGUAAUACGGAGGAUCCGAGCGUUAUCCGGAUUUAUUGGGUUUAAAGGGUGCGUAGGUGGUUUGAUAAGUCAGCGGUGAAAGUUUGCAGCUUAACUGUAAAAAUGCCGUUGAAACUGUCGGACUUGAGUGUAAAUGAGGUAGGCGGAAUGCGUGGUGUAGCGGUGAAAUGCAUAGAUAUCACGCAGAACUCCGAUUGCGAAGGCAGCUUACUAAGCUACAACUGACACUGAAGCACGAAAGCGUGGGGAUCAAACAGGAUUAGAAACCCUAGUAGUCC